rnacentral:rRNA from 1 species
CGAACCAGCGGAGGGAUCAUUG